UUUUUUUUUUUUUUUUUUUUUUUUUAGACGGAGCAUUUAUUUGGGAUGAGGAAAGGAAAUUGAGCAGAAGGUACAGGAGUAAUAGCAAUUCCCUGUAGCUCUCAAAGCAAAUUUUGAGCUCAUUUUUCUUUUUCUGCAAGCUCAGCAGCAGAAUGCCCAGAGUCUUCCCUGGUAGAUGCAGAAUGCCCAGAGUCUUCCCUGGUAGAUGCAGGUUCCAUAGCGACGUUCUCCUGCAAUGCACGCUGGUAUUCUGCAAUAGCAGUCCAUGUUUUUCCUUGAGCCUGGGACAGGGAGAGCAUGAGAAAUUGAGUAUGGAGUUAG
rnacentral:lncRNA from 1 species